rnacentral:tRNA from 1 species
GGUAGAGUGGCUGAGAAAAGCGUGAGGCUGUAAACCUCAACACGGAGUUGCCUCCCUCUAUCAGGAU